CAGCCGCCACGGUAAUACGAAGGGGGCUAGCGUUGUUCGGAUUUACUGGGCGUAAAGGGCGCGUAAGCGGACUGAUAAGUCAGGGGUGAAAUCCCAAGGCUCAACCUUGGAACUGCCUUUGAUACUGUUUGUCUUGAGUUCGAGAGAGGUAAGUGGAACUGCGAGUGUAGAGGUGAAAUUCGUAGAUAUUCGCAAGAACACCAGUGGCGAAGGCGGCUUACUGGCUCGAAACUGACGCUGAGGCGCGAAAGCGUGGGGAGCAAACAGGAUUAGAUACCCCAGUAGUCCCUGUCUCUUAUAC
rnacentral:rRNA from 1 species